rnacentral:rRNA from 1 species
GACGAACGCUGGCGGCGUGCUUAACACAUGCAAGUCGAACGGAAAGGCCCUGCUUUUGUGGUGUGCUCGAGUGGCGAACGGGUGAGUAACACGUGAGUAACCUGCCCUUGACUUUGGGAUAACUUCAGGAAACUGGGGCUAAUACCGGAUAGGAGCUCCUGCUGCAUGGUGGGGGUUGGAAAGUUUCGGCGGUUGGGGAUGGACUGGCGGCUUAUCAGCUUGUUGGUGGGGUAGUGGCUUACCAAGGCUUUGACGGGUAGCCGGCCUGAGAGGGUGACCGGCGACAUUGGGACUGAGAUACGGCCCAGACUCCUACGGGAGGCAGCAGUGGGGAAUAUUGCACAAUGGGCGGAAGCCUGAUGCAGCAACGCCGCGUGCGGGAUGACGGCCUUCGGGUUGUAAACCGCUUUCGCCUGUGACGAAGCGGGAGUGACGGUAAUGGGUAAAGAAGCACCGGCUAACUACGUG